UACAUGGACUAUCAGAGAAUUCAGGGAUUCAUCGUGAUGUGAAGCCCCACAAUAUGUUGUUGGACGGUACAAGAAAGACAUUGAAAAUUUGCGAUUUUGGGUUUUUAAUGGUCAGCGAUACACUGAGAAAUGUGAUGUAUAUAGCAUGGGCAUUACAAUCUGGGAAGUUCUGUCGCGUAAGAUACCAUACUAUGAACAACACAAUCUUGGACAUGUUCAACUCUUAAGUCUAAUUGAUCACGAUCUACGGCCCUCACUAAAUGAUUUGAUUUUUGAGUGUCCCGAGCAAAUAAAAAUUCUGAUGCUAGAAUGCUGGGAUAAGAGCCCCAAAAAGCGUCCCUCUAUGAAGGGCAUUUUGGACAUCUUGAUAUCAAAUGAAUAAAAUGUGAAGUGAGUUGGAGUGAAGCGGAUAUUGAUUAGAACUUCACUAUU